GGGCUUGACCGUGGCUGGUCCUUCUAAAGCACCGCGCCUGGCAGCGGUGUGGCUGCCGGGGCGCUGCGGGUUCUUAGUGCGUCACGGGCGGGUUCCUGUGUUCCGGUCGAACCCGAUCCCUUCGCCGAUGAGCAGGCAGGCCUCUUCCAGUUGCACUGAUACCCAUCCCCGUGCCCUCUUGACCCCCCCCCACAGGAAGUGAUCACCAACGAGCACGUCGUGGCCAUGAUGAAAGCCGCCAUCAGCGAGACGCAGGACAUGCCCAUGUUUGAGCCCAAGAUGACCCGGUCCAAGCUGAAAGAAGUGGUGGAGAAGGGCGUGGUCAUUCCUACCUGGAACAUCUCCCCCAUCAAGAAGGCGAAAGAGGUGAAGGUGAACG